AUUGAACGCUGGCGGCAUGCCUUACACAUGCACGUCGAACGGUAACAGGUCCUCGGAUGCUGACGAGUGGCGAACGGGUGAGUAAUACAUCGGAACGUGCCCGAGAGUGGGGGAUAACGAAGCGAAAGCUCUGCUAAUACCGCAUACGAUCCCAGGAUGAAAGCAGGGGACCGCAAGGACAUGUGCUCACGGAGCGGCCGAUGGCAGAUUCGGUAGUUGGUGGGAUAAAAGCUUACCAAGCCGACGAUCUGUAGCUGGUCUGAGAGGACGACCAGCCACACUGAGACUGAGACACGGCCCAGACUCCGACGGGAGGCAGCGGUGGGGAAUUUUGGACAAUGGGCGCAAGCCUGAUCCAGCCAUGCCGCGUGCAGGAUGAAGGCCUUCGGGCUGUAAACUGCUUUUGUACGGAACGAAAAGACUCUGGUUAAUACCUGGGGUCCAUGACGGUACCGUAAGAAUAAGCACCGGCUAACUACGUGCCAGCCGCCGCGGUAAGAC
rnacentral:rRNA from 1 species